GGAUCGUGGCUCAGUGGCAGAGCACUUGCCUCGCAUGUGUGAGGCACUGGGUUCAAUACGCAGCACCA
rnacentral:tRNA from 1 species